CCAGCACUGCGCCCCCUACGACUUCCUCUGAGCAGGAGCUUCUGUAGCUGUCGAGCUGCUCAGGCCGCCCUGGCUGGUUUUCAGCCCAAUCCCUGCUGUUUCUGAAGGAGGCUGGAGGUGGAGUAAUUAGCACUUGUUCCCAUGCCAGCGCUGUACCUGGAGAAAUGGGCUGUUGGAACACACGGUUUGGCUGAUGGAUUGCUGACCUCUUGUACUGCCCGAGGCUCGUCUGUGCACUUGAACUUCUCAGCGAACGUGGAGGUGCUGGUAGAGGGUCCAAAAGCAACGCUGGGAGGCUGAACAUGACAAACAGGAGGAUUCAAUUAGGAAGAAAGACCGCGCAUCACCCGCUGGGACCACACUGCCUCAUUCCUCCGCCGGAUUCCAUCUUUGAAAUGUCUUCUGCGCUGCGCUCCCGCCCCCGCUCGCCUCCUUGAAACUUCACAGCUGGGACACAGAGGGACUUUGAAGGGCGGAAGACAAGAGGGAUUUUUCCUUCCUCCGUGGUCAUAUUUAACAGCCAGUUCCCGAAUGGUAUUAAUAAACAUUUCAACUUCAAAAACUGAA